rnacentral:rRNA from 1 species
AGUGAACGCUGGCGGUAGGCCUAACACAUGCAAGUCGAACGGCAGCACAGGAGAGCUUGCUCUCUGGGUGGCGAGUGGCGGACGGGUGAGGAAUACAUCGGAAUCUGCCCAGUCGUGGGGGAUAACGUAGGGAAACUUACGCUAAUACCGCAUACGACCUGCGGGUGAAAGAGGGGGAUCGCAAGACCUCUCGCGAUUGGAUGAGCCGAUGUCGGAUUAGCUAGUUGGCGGGGUAAUGGCCCACCAAGGCGACGAUCCGUAGCUGGUCUGAGAGGAUGAUCAGCCACACUGGAACUGAGACACGGUCCAGACUCCUACGGGAGGCAGCAGUGGGGAAUAUUGGACAAUGGGCGCAAGCCUGAUCCAGCCAUACCGCGUGGGUGAAGAAGGCCUUCGGGUUGUAAAGCCCUUUUGUUGGGAAAGAAAUCUUUCAGGCUAAUACCCUGGGAGGAUGACGGUACCCAAAGAAUAAGCACCGGCUAACUUCGUG